CCCCAAGUGUUAACGCGCCCUGGAGAACGCCUUGGUGAGGUGUAGGAAGGCGGGAAGCAGGCUCUUCCUGGAAAUGCUGGAAAACUGGGAAGUUGGGAGAGGUUUCUGUGUGUCAGCGAUCAAAACAGCAUUUUACCCAAGGGACCCGGCUGUGCCUCCGGUUGGGGGCUGUUCCACCUUUUACAGAUUACUUCAGUUUUUAAAAUUGUCUUGAGUUUUGAAAUCUGAAUUAUUUUUCAAAAUUUAGCUGCGAGUUUUGAAUGUUUCUAAGUUUUGGAAAUGUAGCUUCGCAAAUACAGGUUUUGGAAGUGAGAUUUGCAUUUUGAAAAUUUCAGUUGUGACCUCAAGUAGUUUACAAGUAUUUUGUUUAAAGUAUUCAUUUUAGAUUUGAUUUCGUAAAGAUGUCCCCCAAAUGUUCAUGUGUAACAGUUAUUGCCCUAACGUUAAAUACGUGCUUGGCGCCUAUCAUACAUUUGUACUGAUACGUGUUUCGUGUUUAUAUUAUAAACACCUGUUGGCACAUAUACACACGGCCCGGAGUCUGGGGACCCCCCCCCCCGGGCGGCGCGCUUAACCCUGGUCUCGCGAGACCUGUCUGUGAGGACGGCCCCGCGGGCGGUCUUGGCACUCCUGCUGAGACCUCUCUCCCGCAGGUGCCUGGCUCCGCCCUGUCCCGUCGCGCGCGGACGCGCCCAGCAGGGGGCGCCGUCUCCGUGCUCUUGGAGCCGCCGUUCCUCCCACGCGCACCUGCAGUGGGGCGGAAAGGGGCGCGGCCUGGAAUGCGGACAAACCCUCCAGCCCGCUUUCCGGAAGGGGCCCGGGGCGAGUUUAAGCGUAACUUAGACCCGCCCUCGCUGCUGCCGGACGGAAAUUCCCAUCCCGCUGGAACAGGCGAGGGCGCCGAGGAACCCAGAGGACCGCAGCAGGGGGCGCAGGUGUCCGUCCACAAGCUACCUUCCUACGUGACAGCUCCUGCCAGAGAGCCUCCCAGUAUAUUCCUGCAGGAACGCAGCGCCACGCUCUUCCUGGAGUGGGCGAAAGAUCUAAGAAACUCGAGUUCCUACACGCCGGUUUCAUUAAUGUUACGAAAGCAAACUUUAUCAUUUGCCCGCCGCUCCUUUUUUCGAGGCGGGAGAGGGCGGUAAGAGGCACAGACUCGGUCCCGUAUGUCAUUCUUCCGUCUUCAAAGCACCGAGCAACUACGGAAGAAGUGAGAGCACAUCUCGGCACUGCUUCAAGAGGCCGGGGUGGGAAGGGGGGUAUCUGCGGAAAUAGAUGCUUCCUGUUCUACCCGUGUGAUGGCUGCGAUGUCCUACGAGUUCAUCUGUAAGUACAAAUGACAGUCCGCCCAACUGUGUUCAAGUUUUCCUACACACGCUAGGGGACCAGCCAGCUGUGCAGUGUCACCGAAAACCUUUCAAAAAGGCCACGUCCUUCGAGCCGGAUUCGAACCAGCGACCUAAGGAUGACCACAACCACACGUCUACAGUCCUCCGCUCUACCAACUGAGCUAUCGAAGGAUUGGUGUGCGUUCAAGCUGAUGUUUUGUAUCACAUACAAGGUUUUAGUCGUCCUAAAUGUCACAUUUGGACAGACCUAGUUGCAUUUACGAAGAGCCGUGUAGAAACAAAUGCAAAUCCUUCACCAGCGAAGGAACCAGCAUGCAUCACUCAGAGAUGCUAGACUUUCAGCAAACUGACGUUCUCAUGGACUUUUAUGUUGUCUCCCCCCAGGGGAAGCCAAGCGUGUUUGGCUUUUAGGAAGGAGGGUGGGCAGAAUCGUUGGUGGCUGCGUGGUGAACUGUAAUGGACACUAUUGCUUUUCAAAAAUCUCCUGACAUUGUGUUGUACCAUAUCUAAGACUAGAGUUCAUUACUCCUUUAGAAAUAGAUGUGGCCGUGUGACACAACUGUUUUGACAAAUGAGAUGUCCCUCCUGGAAGUUGGAGAGCCAGUGAGCCAUCCACCACACCCCUCUUGACCCUUCCCCUGACAAAAUAUGAUCUGAGUUGUUGGGGAUCCACAAGGAGCCCACCAGGCAAACCAUGACUGAUUUAUAUGACGCCGAAGAGUUUCCGGUUACGAGCCGUCAUGAUUUGCAGAGGGGGAAUGCUUGUGACUGCAGUGUAACCUACCCUACUCAGGCGGACACACAGGAAACGCGCAAGUCUGAAUCCACGAGGAAGGCUCAUUCUCCUCCUAGGAAAACACCCAAGAGAAAUGUGUGAGCUUCUGCACCAAGAGAUAUGUAUGGUAAGAGGGUUCAAAGAUUUGUUUGUUGGUUUCCAAUUGUCCGUGUUCUAUCGCUGAGUGAAAGAAAAGUUCAGUGACGUUUGCCGAGAGUCUGCCUGCCAGCCUAGUGUCAUUUUGUAUUACUUCAAGAGAGGUGAGGUUUUUUUCCAGUCACUCCAAGAAAUGGAUUCCAGGAAAGUAUUCUGGAAAAGCUGCUCAUCGUAGGCUCAGGCUCUUUGUGGAAUUUCUAAAUGUGUUGAGCUAAAAGUGGAGCAAAUUUAUCAGAGUGAAUCCAGAUCUUGGAUGGGAUUUGAAAAGGCUGUGGCAAUUUUUCAAGACUGAAAACUGCAGUAGUUGGGACUCCGGCAAAAAGGAUAUAAGUCGUUAGACACGAGGCGUUUCACCUGCUCUGUCCUGCGUCGCGUGGGCCACAGGACUGCCCUGUUCUCCUUUCCUCUCUUGCAACAACAUUCCAGAAUUCAUUCUGCUUAAAACUUGGUAGCUUCUACCGGCCAUCUGGUUGCUGGGAACAGGCUUCCCCAAAGACAGACUGAAAAGGACAGCAGGAAUCUUCAAACCCUCCUAAUUCCUUGCUGUUCCUGAAAAUUACCAUUCGAGAUCAUUUUUAAAUGUUGGGUUUUACACCAACCUAUUAGCAAACAGGCUGAGCGUGAUAUUCUACGAGAAGCUACACGACUGUCUCAAACAUGCGUGCCAAGUCCAAGUUCACGGCCGAAAGCUAGAGGAAAGCUGUGGGUGGUCUCGUCCCCCUGACGGCGCGCAGCAGGCAGGGCUUCCGCAGGCCCAGCUCCUUCGAAUUGCGCAGUAGCCGCGAUCGGCUGGGAGCAGAGCAGGUGUCUUGGGUCACGAGCGAACCCGCGUGUGCAAGUUCGACCUCCUCGUGUGUCUGCACGCGUCCCAGCGCGGGAACAUCCCCAAGGUGCAGGCGGCCUCCCACCCGCGCACUCGGUUCAUCUGAAAGGUGAUUGUCCUCCACUCCUGGUGUGUUCGCAGAGGGGACAGGAGGCUUGGGCUGGUCCUGUCCCCUCUUCCGUCCUUCACACCGAUCUCUUCGAGACACAGGAGCGGGAGAAAGGAGAACACAUCUCGGGUUUGUGCCCAAAGGUCACAGGUUGCGGGCAGGGUGUGGCUCUGGGGUUAGACGGUGCCACGGUGGUGGCCGUAUCUGGGCGGUGGGUACGAUGGGAGUUCGUUAUGCUGCGUCCUGGGUGUGUCUGAAAUUUCUCCGACAGAAGGCUUCUUCAGACGUCACCGGGCUAACAGGGCCCCCAGCGGCGGGCGCGGACCCCAACGUCGGAGACACUCGCGCGCCCUCGCCGUUGCGCUGCGCGGAGCCGGCGCCGGGGCCGCGCGCGGGGAAACGCUGAACCUGGAACCCGAGACGGCCGCGCGCAGGGAGCCCAGGGUCGGGGCCGCGCGCGCGGAGCCGGGCCGCCCUCGCAAGCGUGUGAGUUUCACAGGCGAAAAGGUGAACGGAGACUCGCGGAAAGGGACUAUUCCCUGCGUUCAGUAAGGGUCUAAAUGUUGCUGUGGCGUCGCUGGAGUUGUCUACGAUUUCCAAAAUUGUCGUCCUUCGAGCCGGAUUCGAACCAGCGACCUAAGGAUGUCCAACUAUCGCACCUACAGUCCUCCGCUCUACCAACUGAGCUAUCGAAGGACUCCUGGGAGGCACCCUUUCAGGAUUCCUAAAAUAACGUCGGUCCAGACGGUCUGUGUUGGUAAUGUUCACGUGCACUUUUCAAAGUGCAGCCUUAAGCUGACUUCCUAGACCCCGAAUGUGUUUUAUAUAGUGAUCUGGAUAGACAGCUGGUUCCAUGGGUUUAUAAAGACAUCAAAUUCAUUGGGUUAUACAUAAAAGACAUUAGGAUAUCACUUAUGUAGCUCUCAAGCAAAACCCCUAAGGCUGUCCCCUGUCCUCCUCCCCCAGGAACAAUAUAGCUGAAGGUAGUGCCCUCUUAUUAUGGACCGAUUUCCUUCCUUCCUCUCCGGUUACCUACUCCUUCUCUCCAAAGUGUCAAAGUUUGCUCAAUAAAUGUUAUGGUUGCCCUAAAUACAGACAACUAGGUUGGAGAAGAUCCCUGGGUUGUGAACAGAGCAAGGUCCCAUGCAUUUUGGUACAUUCCAGUAGUCCACAGUGAAAGUCCAAUGGGAAAUCGUGUCUAUUCUUAACUCUAAUGAUGAAAAAUGUGGAGUGGUGUGUGUGUGUGUGUGUGUGUGUGUGUGUGUGUGUGUGUGUGUGUGUAUAAAUGUUCUUAGUUGGGUAAAUAUGAUCUGGGUGGUUCACAUUCCACUGCAUAAUUAUAGUAGAGCAAUUAAAAUGAAACAACAAUUCUUAAAAUUCUUAAGUGGAAAUAUAAAUAUUCCUGACCCCAAGAAAAUCAGACAACAUUGAGGUUCAACAGAAACUGAUCAGUUUCCUUGCACCUGCUACAGAAAUAGACACAAGUAGAGAAUUUGCUAAACUACCUGGAGCAAAAAGGCUUUCCUUUGUAAUAUAUUUAAGGAAGAGAUUAAGUGGGUUUCUCUAUAAAAUAUCUGUGCUUCUUAUAAUAAAAGUUCGACAAAACCAUAUUAUUGGGAAAAAAAUCCAAAUUUUUCUUCAAAUGGCAAUUGCCAGUGCCUCCUAUUAGAAACAUUGAGAGCUCAUAGUUGAUAGGGAGCUCAGUAAUGAAGUCCCUUUCCAUGAGACGCUAGUGAAACGGAACCUAGUAACGUUCCUUUCAAUGUUCCUGACCUAAUAGAGGAUUAGCAGCUAGAGAAAAAGCGUCCUAAGAAGUGGACGGUUUCUCUUAACAUUAUCAGGUGUCCUUUCUGUGCUUUGAAUACCAAGUAGAAAACGUUGCCAACAGGUGCUGAAAUUUCAGGAUGGUGAUGGAUUCAUCGCUGGGGCCACACUUAGAGGAACGGGAAGUUCCCGGAAAGGACACGGGAAGGAUUCUGGAGGCUGGAAGCCCAUGACCAAGGCCAUUCAGUUCCUGUGACAGCUCUCUUCUUGGCUUGCAGAUGGCCGUCUCCUGGCUGUGCCUUCACAGGGCAGAGAGAGAAUGGGCUCUUUGGUGGCUCCCCUGUAAGCCACCAAUCCCAGGGGAUCAGGGCCCCGCCCUUACAACCUGAUGGACGUCCAGGGUUAAACUCUUGCCCAAUUUCUAAGACAAGUGUUUCUGAGGACUCCACGGCCUGGAUUCCAGCUGCACUCUGAGCUCUUUUACCGACAGGGUCCAGAAGCGUAGGACAGGUUGUAGGUGGUGCCGAGGGACAGAAUGGCCAUUGAUCUGCGGCCCCGCACCCCAAACAAUUGGCUAAGACCGACUACGAACAGGUGGCGCGACACGUUCUGAAUGGCCUCCAGAUUUCAAAGUGGGGAAGAGAGGCGCGGCGGCGUGUCCGGACGGGGAAUUAGCUCAAAUGGUAGAGCGCUCGCUUAGCAUGCGAGAGGUAGCGGGAUCGAUGCCCGCAUUCUCCAGUUUUGCGUUCUCUUCCCCGCUGGCUUUUGCUUUCCUGCUCCUCUAAACAGACGGAGAUGAUGGAGACAUCACCAGCUGGGAGCGGGGCCCAGGUCAUAACAGGGAAGGCCUUCAGACAGUGCCAGGAUAGGAAGGCUGAGGUCUCUAGGAUUUGGCAGACGUUUUGCAGAUUUGAAUAUUGGUCCCUGCCACGUGGACUUACGAAUCGACACUUCAAUUAUUUAUGCAUUAAUAUUGUAUUUUUAUUCUCAGUCUAUUUCCCACACAUCUGACCUAUGUAGGGCCACCUCAAGUUCUUAAAACUGGAAGGAAGGAUUCCCAUUUCUUAGCGAGAUGGUGAAGAGCCACAUAAUCAAGUAUAUUUCAGACUUGUUUUUUAUGCAUGCAGUUUUCCUCCUCUGGAGUCGGACGGCUAGAUCUUUGGAGGUGGUGGUGAUGAUGCGGAUACUGAUACCGGGCUGUGGCAGAAAACGGCCCAGUCACAGGAGGGUGGAGAACCUCGGUGGUGCCUCCAGAAGCUCAGGCCAGGACUUUCUAAUACACUUUGCAUCCAGCGCCCAAAAGUUAUCUUUGAAAAGAAAAUCGGACCAGUUUUCUUCUUUACUCUUUUGCCCCAGUUCGCUUUCAAAAAACAAACUUCACUCUGUCUCUCUCUGUCUCAGAAAUA